GAUCUCAAGAGGCAUCGGACUCGGAGCAAGACCAUCACCGCACCAGACCAAGAGCCCAAGACAAGAGAUGGGGAUUUGAACAGCAAUCAACUAGGGAACGCUUCAGAGAUUUCUUCAGCAAAGUUUCAACAGAUCAUGCCACGGAGGAUAACCAUAACAGCCAAGACAACUGAAGAAUCAUUGGACUCAGAAGAUUUUCUCCUUUUCAACUGCGACGAAGACUGAAGAUUUUUGAAGACAAUUUGAGGGCUUUGGACAAAGCCUCAGGUUUCCACCAGAGUCAUCAGCCCAGCAGAAGAGAGAAAGAACUCCUUGGCCAGGACAACUCCUUCACCUCCCUUUCUCUCCAAAAAGAAGAUAACCAAAAACACUCAAGCUCAGCUCUUUGUAUCAGGUUCGCUGUUCUGCAGGACCACAUGGCUUGUAAACUUUGUUUGAUGGGCAGUCACUGGCUGUUUGUAAAGAAAAUAUCUCAAUAUAAUUGUUGAAUUUAUUUGCAUACCACUUACAAACUGUAUGUGACAAAGUGUAAAGUAACCUUUGCAAUGUGUACUAAAAAGAAAAGAAUUUAACUUAAAAUAAUGAGUGGUUGCUUACCA